rnacentral:rRNA from 1 species
AGUGAACGCUGGCGGUAGGCCUAACACAUGCAAGUCGAACGGCAGCACAGUAAGAGCUUGCUCUUACGGGUGGCGAGUGGCGGACGGGUGAGGAAUACAUCGGAAUCUACUUUUUCGUGGGGGAUAACGUAGGGAAACCUACGCUAAUACCGCAUACGACCUACGGGUGAAAGCAGGGGAUCUUCGGACCUUGCGCGAUUGAAUGAGCCGAUGUCGGAUUAGCUAGUUGGCGGGGUAAAGGCCCACCAAGGCGACGAUCCGUAGCUGGUCUGAGAGGAUGAUCAGCCACACGGGAACUGAGACACGGUCCAGACUCCUACGGGAGGCAGCAGUGGGGAAUAUUGGACAAUGGGCGCAAGCCUGAUCCAGCCAUACCGCGUGGGUGAAAGAGGCCUUCGGGUUGUAAAGCCCUUUUGUUGGGAAAGAAAAGCAGCAGGUUAAUACCCCGCUGUUCUGACGGUACCCAAAGAAUAAGCACCGGCUAACUUCGUG